CAAGUCGAACGGUGACCUCGGAGCUUGCUCCGGGCGAUCAGUGGCGAACGGGUGAGUAACACGUGAGUAACCUGCCCCAGACUCUGGGAUAACCCCGGGAAACCGGAGCUAAUACCGGAUACGAUACGAAGAGGCAUCUCUAUCGUGUGGAAAGUUUUUCGGUCUGGGAUGGACUCGCGGCCUAUCAGCUAGUUGGUGAGGUAACGGCUCACCAAGGCGACGACGGGUAGCCGGCCUGAGAGGGCGACCGGCCACACUGGGACUGAGACACGGCCCAGACUCCUACGGGAGGCAGCAGUGGGAAUAUUGCACAAUGGGCGAAAGCCUGAUGCAGCGACGCCGCGUGGGGGAUGACGGCCUUCGGGUUGUAAACCCCUUUCAGCAGGGAAGAAGCGAAAGUGACGGUACCUGCAGAAGAAGCACCGGCUAACUACGUGCCAGCAGCCGCGGUAAUACGUAGGGUGCGAGCGUUGUCCGGAAUUAUUGGGCGUAAAGAGCUUGUAGGCGGUCUGUCGCGUCUGCUGUGAAAAUCCGGGGCUCAACCCCGGACUUGCAGUGGGUACGGGCAGACUAGAGUGUGGUAGGGGAGACUGGAAUUCCUGGUGUAGCGGUGAAAUGCGCAGAUAUCAGGAGGAACACCGAUGGCGAAGGCAGGUCUCUGGGCCACUACUGACGCUGAGAAGCGAAAGCAUGGGGAGCGAACAGGAUUAGAUACCCUGGUAGUCCAUGCCGUAAACGUUGGGAACUAGGUGUGGGUCUCAUUCCACGAGAUCCGUGCCGCAGCUAACGCAUUAAGUUCCCCGCCU
rnacentral:rRNA from 1 species